AGCAGGAAGGAGGCUUGAGGGGGCCGGCUCUGAGAGGCACAAGGCACAACCCAGGGAAAGGCCUCAGAAAAAGCCAGUGUUGCCAGGAAGAGGGAUGGAGGAAGCAAGAAGGAAAGAAUGAGCAAGAGGACCAUAAGGAGCAGAUGAGGAGAAACAUUGUACCAGCAACGCCCUGGCCCGGGCCUCAUCUGAGGGCCUGGUGGUGUGGAGGCAAAGGCGCAUGCCAGGCCUCUGAGGUUCCAAAAUUCUGCAGCGCGCUAACAUUUUGUAGCAUUACAACUGCGGUUCCGCCAGAUGAAAAUGUUUCAGUACACCCCAAGACUGCUUGUGAAGGCUUUUCCCCACGUGUCUCUGCGUGGAAAGAAGUCCGGACCCAUGGUGAGUCCUGGGGUGGGAGAGGGCAAGGAGCCCUGGCCCCACCAUCUUGCCCAGCCCAGCAGAGAAGGGGGCAGCCGCCACCGCACUGUGCCCCCAGCUCCUCCGCUCUCCGGCCCUGGGCACCAGGCUGGAAGUGACAACUCCUGCCUGAGUCCUCCUCCCUUCCUCUUGGUCUCUGUCCACUUUGGAGAGCCUCUGGGGCCUUCAGCAGCAGAUGGAGUUGGGGAGCAAAACCCCAGAUGGGCUCCCUCGAGCAUGGGACUGGUCUCCAUUUGCUCCGGACUGGAGCCUGGAGACCUGAGAGGGCAGAGGUCAGGGUCUCUGUGGGGCUUGGAAAGCCACAGGCCACACUGAGGGCACCGAUACAGGCCUUUCACAGUGCAGAUGGAGAAACGGAGACCUGAGAGCAAAGGGGUUUCCCAGCUGAGGCACAAGCUGACUCCUGCACUCUGCCAAAAGGGACGCCAGAUAGCAUGAGUCUCCUCUUCCUACACCCGCCCGAGCUCCCUGACUCACCUCUGCCGGUGGGGAAAGUCAAGGAGCAAAGUGACAUGGCAGGAUGUCAAGGAAGCUGUGCAAGGCCGGCGUGGUGGCACUUGCCUAUAAUCUCAGACUCAGGAGGCUGAGGCAGGAGGAUUGAUGCAAGUUCAAGGCCAUCCUGAACUACAUAGCAAGACCCUGUCUAAAAAAAUGAAAAAGAG
rnacentral:lncRNA from 1 species